CUUGAUCCUUCGGGUGAUGGUGGCGGACGGGUGAGUAACGCGUAAAGACUUGCCUUGCAGUCUGGGACAACGUCUGGAAACGGACGCUAAUACCGGAUAUUAUCGCAUGAUGAAAGCUAUAUGCGCUGCGAGAGAGCUUUGCGUCCCAUUAGUUAGUUGGUGAGGUAACGGCUCACCAAGACGAUGAUGGGUAGCCGGCCUGAGAGGGUGAACGGCCACAAGGGGACUGAGACACGGCCCUUACUCCUACGGGAGGCAGCAGUGGGGAAUAUUGGACAAUGGACCAAAGUCUGAUCCAGCAAUUCUGUGUGCACGAUGAAGUUUUUCGGAAUGUAAAGUGCUUUCAGUUGGGAAGAAGAAAGUGACGGUACCAACAGAAGAAGCGACGGCUAAAUACGUGCCAGCAGCCGCGGUAAUACGUAUGUCGCAAGCGUUAUCCGGAUUUAUUGGGCGUAAAGCGCGUCUAGGCGGUUUGGUAAGUCUGAUGUGAAAAUGCGGGGCUCAACUCCGUAUUGCGUUGGAAACUGCCAAACUAGAGUACUGGAGAGGUAGGCGGAACUACAAGUGUAGAGGUGAAAUUCGUAGAUAUUUGUAGGAAUGCCGAUGGGGAAGCCAGCCUACUGGACAGAUACUGACGCUAAAGCGCGAAAGCGUGGGUAGCAAACAGGAUUAGAUACCCGGUGUCCACGCCGUANACGAUGAUUACUAGGUGUUGGGGGUNGAACCUCAGCGCCCAAGCUAACGCGAUAAGUA
rnacentral:rRNA from 1 species